CUUUAUUUAGCGACGCUAGCCCCGACAACUACAAAAGUUGAUUUCCAUGGGGGGCGUCGAUAUAAAAAAAUAUUACAAAGAAUAUAAACAGGAAGGAAACUAAGGCAACUACAAUAUGUACAUUAUCAAAAGCUACGGUAUAAACAACGAUGGUGUGUCUCAGAAUAAAUAUAUGAUUAAGUGAAUCCAGACUCGGUUAUUAACAUCAAAAAUUUUGUUUUAUACAUCUUUUAAAUAUAUAAAUAGAUUUUAAAUAUAUACAUCUUUGAUUGGUUAAGUUAUGGAUUUUCAAUUUCAUAUUGGACUUUGUUUCGUCUCCCUUGCAGUUAAUGUUUGUUGUUCUUGGGAACGAACGAAACAAUGAGCGCAUGCGAAGAAGACAAGACCUUAUGAUAUUAUCAUGUUGUCCCGGCGUAUAUGCACUUGUCUAUAUAUAUAAUAACCUCAGAACAGCUGGUCGGGAUAGAGUUUUCAUAUCAUGCAUGCGCUAUGCUUUCUUUUCACCUUCCUGGGAAUUUUAGAAUUUUCCCAUGGAAAAGUUCCGGACCAUUUAAGGAUACCCUACUUCGUACCUUUCAAAAUCGUCAAGAGAAAUUCAUAUAAUAUUUCGUUUUACGUUUACUUGCAAUUGUCUGUAAAAGGUAAUAGUUCUGAUAAUUCAAUGCUCAUUCAAUAGUAUAUCUUCUGUUUUAGUGAAAGAACAGAAGAGAACAAAUAUCAAAGUUUAAUUGAUGUAAGUUCUCCGUCGGCGUCCAAAAAUGAUUCUAACUUCAACGUGGUAACCAUAGAGGAAGUAAUUGAACCAGUUAGCGAAGGAAAUGCAGGAAGUUCUGAGACGACGGAUCGAAAUUGUGAGAUGGAAGUCUCUGUUGGCAUGGGUAGACCAGGUUAUGUUGAAAGACUUCGUGAAUCUUUCCUGCGAAAGAGUUAUAAUUAAAUUUAGAUAACCACAAAUUAAUGAAAAUGACGAAUUAUUAAGCCACGGUGGUACUGUAUGUAAUUUGCUGUACAUUGAUCAACUGCUGACGGGUCCCAAUUAUGAUGAAUUCAGUCUUAUUCGCAAUAUUCAUUACAAGCUUGUCAUGAAUUAUAUAUCCAACAUCUUAUUUUCUGAAUACAGGCCUCCAUCGCACACAUAGCUUCUUCCUGAGUUGAACCAGUGCACUUGUGUGUCGUCAGCAUGCAUAGCCAACAAUUUCGAGACAUAUAUAUGAUAAUUACAUGUAAUAUGAUGUCCCUAUUUAUAUACAAGUCUACAACUAAUUAAUUAAAAAUACAAUUAAAUACAUUAUAUACAAAUUGUUCUCCCAAUAUACAGCCGUUCAUAAUGAUUUUGAAUCUACAGGGUGUCCUAAA